GACGAACGCUGGCGGCGUGCCUAAUUCAUGCAAGUAGAACGCUGAAGAGAGGAGCUUGCUCUUCUUGGAUGAGUUGCGAACGGGUGAGUAACGCGUAGGUAACCUGCCUUGUAGCGGGGGAUAACUAUUGGAAACGAUAGCUAAUACCGCAUAACAAUGGAUGACACAUGUCAUUUAUUUGAAAGGGGCAAUUGCUCCACUACAAGAUGGACCUGCGUUGUAUUAGCUAGUAGGUGAGGUAACGGCUCACCUAGGCGACGAUACAUAGCCGACCUGAGAGGGUGAUCGGCCACACUGGGACUGAGACACGGCCCAGACUCCUACGGGAGGCAGCAGUAGGGAAUCUUCGGCAAUGGGGGCAACCCUGACCGAGCAACGCCGCGGGAGUGAAGAAGGUUUUCGGAUCGUAAAGCUCGGUUGUAAGUCAAGAACGAGUGUGAGAGUGGAAAGUUCACACUGUGACGGUAGCUUACCAGAAAGGGACGGCUAACUACGCG
rnacentral:rRNA from 1 species